rnacentral:rRNA from 1 species
GAACGCUAGCGGCAGGCUAACACAUGCAAGUCGAGGGGCGAGCGGGAUGUAGCAUACAUGCCGGCGACCGGCGGAUGGGUGCGUAACGCGUAUGCAACCUACCUUAUACAGGGGAAUAACCUUUCGAAAGGGAGACUAACACCCCAUGGUAUUGAUUUAAGGCAUCUUAGAUUAAUUAAAUAUUUAUAGGUAUAAGAUGGGCAUGCGUAUGAUUAGCUAGUUGGUAAGGUAACGGCUUACCAAGGCGACGAUCAUUAGGGGUUCUGAGAGGAAGGUCCCCCACACUGGUACUGAGACACGGACCAGACUCCUACGGGAGGCAGCAGUGAGGAAUAUUGGUCAAUGGGCGCAAGCCUGAACCAGCCAUGCCGCGUGCAGGAAGACGGCCUUAUGGGUUGUAAACUGCUUUUACAUAAGACUAACCGUAUAUUUGCGAAUAUACCUGAAUGUAUUAUGAGAAUAAGGAUCGGCUAACUCCGUGCCAGCCGCGGC